AUUACCUUGGCAGACGAAUGGGUUAGAUUUAGGAUCUAUUUAUAUAGUAAAUUACUAUAGGUAAUA
rnacentral:tRNA from 1 species